CUAAAACAAACACAUUCGUAAUCCAGGGCUCCUGAAAAGAUUCUUCCUCUUCAAAGCGGAAAUUCAAAGGAGAAGGCUUUCACCACAGUUCCCAGAAUUGCCUGGGGCCUCUCUCCUGGCAAGCCCAGGAUGGUGCCAUAGUCUUCCUUCAGGAGUCAAUUAGGCAUGCAAGACGUGCCAAUCAAGGCUCGCCCAGCGUGACGCGUGCGAAGGCGGGCGGGAGGGAGGGCUCCUUUCAGAGGCCGUGACACAGACUUCUCACAGCAUUACAAACGUUAAACAUGAUUUCUGACACACGCCGAACCCCAGCCACUGCAGUUCUGCAGGGAUGUGGGAGGCGUAUCAAAUAACCGCACGCUGGGCCUCGGCCAGCAUUUCGCUCAUCUAUCACGUCUGGGGGCGACCGCACCGAACAACUGGAGGUUGCAGUUCAAAGUUGUUGUGGAACGCAAACAAACUAUGUACUAACAAACUGCUAAUGACAAUUUAUGAAACUGGUGCCAGAGAUGUAAUCAGGCUAAAUAAAGCUAAAGCAGAACAUUUUGCCAGCAAUUCAGUUUUGAUAUUCAGGCUGUCAUUUGAGGGUGUGUAUGAACUUAUGCUGAGCGCUACCUUGGAAAAGUGGGAGUAGGAGACGUUGUCAUUGCAACAACACCUUAACUUACCUGAGUUCAUCUAAGUCAUACAGUAUGUGUGCAUAUGGAUAUUUAACAAUUAUGAAAUAAAUAAACUGUAGUGGUCUGUAACUGAGUUGUAUUAAAUUCAUGGUAGUUCCUUCUUAAUUGAUUUCUAUUUUUUACAAAGUAGUAUCUUGACUAGAAUGUCAGAAAACAUAAGUGUGUCUUGCCAUAAAAUACCUGGGUAGGUUAAUUUGACUGUUUUGACUGACAGUUGGUUUGUACCUUUUAACUCUGAUUCUGGUUCAAUGACAGAGGAUGCCUUCAA